AAAAAAAAAAAAGGUAGUAAAUUAUAUAAAAUCAUAACACGUUAUCAAUCUGCGCUAUUGUUAUAUUUUUAUGUAUAAAUAGAAGAUGUUGAACUCUUUUCGAUUAUUUUAUAUAUUUACUUAUUCAUAUAUUUUGAACUUUCUUAGUGAAAAUUGGAACUCCGCAUAGUAAUGUGGUUAAAGAGGUGAAUUGAAGGUUGCGAUUAGGCUUUUGACUUUGCAAACAAUAAUUGAGGAGAAAGAAGAAAAUUGAAGGGGAAAAAAAGGUGGAAAAUAUAGUAAGAAGGUGGUGGGCGUGACAGUGAACAGAACAAAAUAUAAGAGGUAACAAGAAAAAUGCCUUUUAUCUAAACUUAAAAGAAGAGGCAUGCUUUGCCUUUCAUCAUCAUUCAUGAAAAUUGAUAAGACAUUUAUGUUUAAAACCGGCAAAAAAUUAAUAAAAUAAUGUCUUUUUUAAAAUUUAUUUUGGAUAUGUUUGUUUUUUCCCUGUUGAAACUAUGUUAUACAUGUUUGGCCAUCUAAAGUAAAUUACCAAGGAUUCCUUAGUAAAAUGAUUACUAUAGUAUAUUUUAUAACAUAGGAAAGCGAAUAAUUCAAAGUGGAUUAUUCUUAAAUACCAUACACAAAGUGGAUACCAUUCUAUGUUUGUGGCGAUGAUACAAAUUUUAUGUGAUGCGAAUCAGAAUUUAAUGUAAGUUGUGAUUUUUAUCAUAAUGAUGAAUUUGAGAUUAUGAUUUGAUUAAGUUGAAGUGUUGAACUAUCGAUAUAUGUAAUGUACUUUACUCGUUUAUAGUUAAUCAUGUUUUACCACAUGCAACUUGCCUCUUGCAAUAUUCUUACAGUAGACAAAGAUAAUUACUUCAACCUAAGUACUAGGAGUAUUAUUAGUAUUAAAUUGGCUGAUAAACCUGACAUUUAGAGACAUUUCAGCAUUUUGAGACAAACUCGUGACCAACCUAAUCAUUUUUAGUUACGACUUACGAGGAUCGAAAUAAAAUAUAGAGCACAACUAGCUUGUUUCUCCUUAUUUUUGAAAUUACACUAAGUAUAUUUGUAAUAGUUAUUUUUGUUGAAGAAGAAGGAAGCUGACGAUUGGAACAUAUCAAAGAACAAGUCCAACGAAGCUGACUGACGUGUCUGCAGCAAGUGUUGAUGAAGAAGCAAGCUGACGAUUGGAACAUGUCAAAGGAACAGGUUCAACGAAGCUGACUGACGAGUUUACAACACUGCUCUAGAAUUAGAGUCGCACUAGGAUUAGACUACUUAUAUUAAUUAGGAUUAUAUUACGACUAGAAUUAUAUUAUGAUUAGGAUUGUAUUACGACUAGAAUUAUAUUAUGAUUAGGAUUAUAUUACGACUAUAAUUAUAUUAUGAUUAGGAUUAUAUUACGACUAGAAUUAUAUUAUGAUUAGGAUUAUAUUACGACUAGAAUUAUAUUAUGAUUAUGAUUAUAUUACGACUAGGAUUAGAUUAUAUAUAAUUGUAUUAUUAUUAUUAUAGUAGUAGUAAUAGGUAUUGUAGUAGGACUCUAAGUAUAACUAUACUUAGAGUCCUACUACAAUACUACUAUAUAGUAAUAAUAAUAAUGCAAAUAUAAAUAAUCUAAUCCUAGUUGUACUAAAAUCAUAAUCAUAAUCUAAUCCUAGUCGUAAUAUUAAUUUCCUUUGACAUGUUCCAAUCGUCAGCUUCCUUCUUCAUCAACACUUGCUGCAGACACGUCAGUCAGCAUCGUUGGACCUGUUCCUUGACAUGUUCCAAUCGUCAGCUUCCUUCUUCUUCAACAAUUAUUAUUAUUAUAGUAGUAAUAGGUAUUGUAGUAAGACUCUAAGUAUAGUUAACUUAGGACUUUACAUUUUUCUACAUGGUAUCAGAGCAUAAAAGCUCUUCCGCUCUCUGAGUAUUGAUCAAAAAAAAGAAAAAAAGAAAACACACGUUGCAAUGGCCCCUUCUACCGAAACCAUGUCAACCUCCCCACUUCACCAAAUCAUUGUCGCUUGCUCCAUUAAACUUAAGCCAACAAACUACACACAAAUAUCCCAAUUGAUUCACGUGAUGAAAACAAACAUAUCUCAUCACAGAGAAUGAACCAAGUAAAAACAGUUGUUCCACUGGACAAACUGCUGGGAAAGUUAUAGAGGUCGAGAAGGAUGCAAAAGAAAGUAACACCAUUGCUGAUUGGAAGGAGAAAUAUGUGUUACUAAGGAGUUGGAUCUCAAGCACCUUGACCGAAAAAAGCAUGCACCUAAUUGUGGGCUGCUCAAUUGCCAAGGAGAUGUGGGAAUGCUUGAAAAAAGUUUAUAUUCAAGCAACAAAAGUAAUUUAUUUUGCUAGAGAUUUAGGUCUCAAAUACAAGACGUUUAGGAUAAUCACAUUAGGUAAGACACUAUAUUCCACCCUUAAUCAAUUUAUUUAUGCUCUCACGAGUUUUGAUAUAAGGGAAGAUGAAGAAGAGGUGUCACAACAAAGCCAUCACAUGGUAUUCUCUGCCUUUUUGAGCAGGGGAAGAGGAAACAACAACAUCAACUCCAGAGAAAUAGGUUUCAAGCCUGCUGGACAGGGAACAAGUUCUCAGAACAGUCAAUAUGGACCAGGUUCUCUGAACAAUAAAAGUUCUCAAAGUGAAAAUAAGGAGAGGAAUAAUAUUAAGUCAUGUCAAAUCUGUGGUAGGAAUAAUCAUACUGCUCUUAAGUGUUUUUAUUGGUGGAACUACUCGUAUCAAUCUGCAGAUGAACUAUCACAAGCAACGACUAGCCAUCACAUUUAUACCGAAGCAUUGACAAAACAAUUUUUUGCUGGGUAUUCAAAGUUUUUUUUUUGCUGCGUAUUCGAAUCAAGCUAGGAGUAACCGUUCCUCUAUUCACUAGCUUGAGGGGAAGUGUUGAAGAAGAAGGAAGUUGACGAUGGGAACAUGUCAAAGGAACAAAUCCAACGAAACUAACUGACGUGUCUGCAGCAAGUGUUGAUGAAGAAGGAAGCUGACGAUUGGAACAUGUCAAAGGAACAGGUCCAUCGAAGCUGAUUGACGAGUUUACAGCACUGCUCUAGAAUUAGAGUCGCACUAGAAUUAGACUACUUAUAUUAAUUAGGAUUAUAUUACGACUAGAAUUAUAUUAUGAUUAGGAUUAUAUUACGACUAGAAUUAUAUUAUGAUUAGGAUUAUAUUACGACUAGAAUUAUAUUAUGAUUAGGAUUAUAUUACGACUAGAAUUAUAUUAUGAUUAGGAUUAUAUUACGACUAGAAUUAUAUUAUGAUUAGGAUUAUAUUACGACUAGAAUUAUAUUAUGAUUAGGAUUAUAUUACGACUAGGAUUAGAUUAUUUAUAAUUGCAUUAUUAUUAUUUUUAUAGUAGUAAUAGGUAUUGUAGUAGGACUCUAAGUAUAGUUAACUUAGGAUGUUACAAUUUUCUCCCUAUAUAAGGAGGUUGUAACUCAACAUUAUUUUCAUCAAUAUAAUCCUUGAUUUCUCCCUAUAUGUCGGUGAAUUAAUUGUAACAAAGAAUGAUUAGAGUUCAUAUAAAGAUGGCAAAUAUGAUAAAUUCAACUUGCUAUUAUAAUUUCAAUAUGUAGUUUCUUUCACCAUCAUGAUGUACAAUGCAUCCAUUAAUUAUUAUGAUUUAUGACAAUUAUAAUGAAAUAAAUUACACAUACACUUAACUAUAAAGUUUAUUUACCAAAUUAUGAAGAUUUAUUAUAUGAAAAUAGAUAAUAGUUGUCCUUGGUAGCUGGCUAGCACUUUCCAGGUUUCUGUCAAUUUUGUCAUCUGCGCAACAAUACCACACAAACAAGUCUAAAGUAAAAUUUCCAAAAUUAAGUGGAGACAUUGUAUAUUUAGGUCAACAAAAAAAUAAAUACAAUUAAUAAUUAGAAAAAUUUACGUAAAUCUCACUAGUUUAAGAGCUAAUUACUCAUAUACACUCUACUUUUGCAAUAGUAUUACGUAUCUUAAUAGAUUUUGGUACAUUUAGAUACAUCCAUAUACAUGUAUUUUAGAAUACAUGAGAUAAAAAUCAUUUAUAAUUUAUUUUAGAUAUAUUGUAUCCAAGUGAAUUCGCUUGUAUAUGAGAUUAUAUUGUCUACUUUUGAGUUUUACCUUAUAUAUAUUCUUUGUCUUUUCCUGUUUAGCCAUUUUGCUGAAUCAGCAAAAUUGUCUACAAGAUUAAAUUCACAUACUUUUACUUCUCUUUCAACUACUUGUUGAUCUCUAUCUAAUCGCUUCGUUCUUUUUUGCGUGUAUCUAACAUUUUCUUAGUCCAUUUUCACUCCCCUUGUAUGUUUGAUUGGCACAGUACACUUUUAAAAUUAAUAGAUAGAAUGAUAAUUUAACUACAAUGUGCACUUUUUCGUCAUUAUUUUCAGAAUGAAUCGUUGUUCACAUCAAUUGUCAGUUUGCACAUAAGUUUUUCAAUGUCCAACUACAAAAGCUGCUAUUUAGAAUUCCCCAUCAAAAAACUGGUGCACUGAUUAUCUCAUCAUAUGCUCAAAAAGAACCUCCAAGAUUUGCUCUUCCUAUGGAAGGAACUAAGAAACGAAAAUUGGGACCAUCCACUCCGACGAAUCAAAAGUAAUAAGCACUCCACAAUUUAAUAUAGCAUAAUCUCUAACUUAUUUAUUCCUUUACAAUAUACAACUUCGCCAUAUAGGUAUAAGUAAAAAAGGGUUGAGUACAACGAAGAAAAAUCACGUGAUUUGUCAUGUAUAGCUGAAUUUUGAUUGCCUAUACCAUCAUCAAAGAAUGAGCUACCUCAACUAGUGGCGGCUCAACCUAAUUAGUGGCCUAAAGCCAAAUAUAAAUCGGAGGACUAGUUUUUUUUUUUUUUUUUUUGAAAUCCAAAUUAUUUUAUUUUUUUAAUGAAAAUGCUUUAUUUUUUCUAUGGUCUUAUACUAUAUAUAUAUCAAAAUAUUUUAUAAUCUUGUGAUCUUAAACAUGUCAUGUAGAAGUUAAAUUUAAAAAUUGACCAAAAAAAAAACAUUCUUUAAUGUUUCAAAACAAACUAAAAGAAACACAAAAUAUUAUUUAUUUUUUUGUUAAAAAAUAAAUAUAAUAAUUCUAUUAUUACUAAAAAAAUGAGGCCCUCAAAUUUUUGGACCUAAGACGGAUGCCUCAGUUCUAAAGGUAUCGAGCCGCCCCUAACCUCAACAAAGUUUCUCCUUUUUGAGCGCAUAUUAACAACCUACAUCAACUACUAGUUAUUUUAUAAUUUUUGUGAACAUAACGGUAAAAGUGCGGUGGCCACUACUUUGCCUGCUCAAAAUGUUUGCUCCAACUAAGCGUGCAUAUACUAAGGGGUCGUUUGGUGUGAGGGAUAAUACCAAAUAGUCCUGGGAUUAAAUUAUAGUACCGCUUAUUUUGUUGUUUGGUUGGCAAGUUCGGGAUAACUUAUCCCGGGAUUAAUAAUUAGUACCGGGAUAAGUUAUCCCUAACCUAGGGUGGUAUAGUAAUCCCGGGAUAACUUAUCCCGGGAUAAAUAGGUAAAUGACAAAAAUGUCUCUUUCAACCCUUUUGUUAUAUCACUUUUUACAUUAAUGAAGGGCAUUUUUGUAAACAAAUAAAUUGUUCUUAAAAUUUAUUAUUUUGAAUACAACAAACCAAACACUCAAUAAAAAAUAAUCCCAACACAACUUAUCCCAUCAUAACUAAUCCCAACAUAACUUAUCCCAACAUAACUUAUCCCAUCAUAACUCAUUUUCAAACCAAACGACCCCUAAGUGUAUAUAUAUAUAUAUACACACCCCUUCCCUUCGGCCCGUGCUGACAUGGGAUUCUCUUCUAGUUACCAUCACUAUUCACCAACAGUUAACAUCUAAAUAUCUUCAGAGAAAAAAUUGUCGAAUAUGAGACCAAGUAAUAUUAUAACAAGCUCAAAACAGAGCCUUGACAAUGUGCGCCUUACAUCAGGAUCGGAAUAUCUAACCUACCAAAACAAAACCUCAUGGCCCCUGACGAACAUAUCUAAUAACCAAUCAAUAAUACAAGGAAGCAGCAAAUACAUCCUCAAACAACAAAGACAAAAAGUCCAAAUAGAGAAAAUUUAAGGACUAGGAAUAUGGAAAGGUGCAACAGUGAAACUGAUCUGCUCUGAGCUAUGCCAUCUAUUCAAAUGCUUCAUCAUCGUCAUCUGGAAGUGGCUGAUUAAGGGCUUGUUGAAGCUCCUGUUCAUGCCUGAAUAAACAGUGUGGUUAAAAUUAAAAAUCGUACAACGAAAAAACAAAAUGUUAAGCACAAGGAGCCUAGCACAUCACAGAGCCAAGCGCUAUAGGGUCGAUUUGCAUGAUCUAAACCUAACAGGAACCUAAUACUUGUUGGUAUUCUUUAAGAUACGAGGGUUGCUCAUGAUCAAAAUCAUCAGUUCUAACUCUGAUAUACAUAUUAAGAUGCAAUGAACAUUGUCCAACUCUGUUAUACAUAUAAAACAGUGAAUAUCUGAUAUUUUCACAGACUUGCUAACAGUUAUCAAUUCUAUGGAAUACACAUAUAAAACUCUUACAAUGCCUGUGCAGCUAAGUCAAUUUGUACUUCUGGGGGAGCAAGUGCAGGUGAUUCCACAAAGUGAAGAUUACCAUCCCUACAAGUAGAACAAGAAAUUAGGUUCACAUCAACAGUACAUAUGAAUAGAACAGACAAGAUAUAGAUUUAUAUUUAUGAACAUUAAUUACCCAGCAAGCUUUCUAGCAAGGUACAGAAAAGGCUUCUCAAAGUUGUAGUUACUCUUUGCUGAGAUCUCAUAGUAUUGCAAAUUUUUCUUCCUGUGGAAGGUAACUUGCUUUGCCUUAACCUGCCUGUUCUUCACAUCAACUUUGUUUCCACAGAGAACAAUGGGGAUGUUUUCACAAACCCUGGAAGAAGCAAUUGAAUAGCAUUUCAGAUUUCAAUUGCAUAUCAUCAAUUAUAAGUAAGAGUAUAAUGCUGGCAGCCUAUGAAGAGUUCCUCACCGGCAAAGAUCUCUAUGCCAAGUAGGAACAUUCUUGUAGGUCAGACGGGCUGUAACAUCGAACAUGAUAAUUGCACAUUGCCCAUGAAUGCUGGACAAUUGACAUAGAGAAAUAUGAGAAUCAAAAAUACAGUCACCAAAAGCUUCAAGCAAGACAAUUAAUGUCAAGGCAGUCAUACAAGUAACAAAUGUUUGAUGUAAAAAAGGAAUAGCAGGGUAAAUAUGGUAUUCUGAGCUCAAAAGAGACGCGGAUGUGAGCACAAUUACUGUCACCUCAGAUAUGAUUAACCACAUUGUAGAAAUACCUAUAGUGGCAUUUGAUGUAGAACACCACACGUUAUCAAUUAUUCUUCACAAACAAACCAGCAUUCCUUAAUUCCAAUAUUUCAGCUUUUGGGAAACAUGAAACUUCACCCAUUUAACUUGACAGUAAAAGUUUUAAUCAUAAAAUAACAUCUAUCGAGCAGCAGAGCCUUGCAUAAACUAAAGGUUUUAACUGCCUACAAUCACUUACUAGUAACCAUCUCUGAGACCUCCAAACUUCUCUUGUCCGGCUGUAUCCCAGCAAUAAAAGCGAAUUUUCCCACAAUUUGUGAAGAAGUCUAGUGGAUGAACCUCCACACCAAUAGUGGCUGUAUGAAAACAAAACUUAAUAAAUAAUUUACUCACGAGAAACCAACAUAACAAGAAACAGAGCGAGAGCCUAUUGAAAAGGAUAACGACCCAGAUUAUCAGAAGACUCUAUCUGUCAGUACAGGAAAUAAAAAACUUACGUUCGUAUUUUUUCUCAAAUUCACCAGUGAGAUGCCUUUUGACAAAAGUCGUCUUCCCUGGAAAUCCAAUUACAACAGGAACCAUUAGGGUACUCUAACAAAAGGAAGCAAGCCACUAAUCUCAAUGAAACAUUCACUUCAAUUUACAAAGAUCAGAUUAUCUACGAUAAAUAGCAUUUAUCCCAUAAAUUCAGUGUAUACUCAUACAUUAUCAAUUAACUAUAUUGAAAUAACUUCCAUAUUUAAAAACUAUUCUGAAUCAAAAUUUCACACAAGUCAGUAAUGUUUUUCAAAUGUUUGAAGAAAUCAAAACAAAAUAUCUGUUUGACAUCAAAAUAUUGUUACUGAUAUUCUCUUCGAAACAAACGAUACUAGAAACAAAUCUCAGAUAAACAUAGAAACAUACCAGUUCCUCCAUCCCCCACAAUAACAAGCUUGAAGCUUGGAUAAUCUACAGUUUGUUGGUUUGGUAAAGCCUGUAAUAAUAAAUUCACAAACAUCAACACAAGAAAUCAGCCAAAACAGUUACAAUUCAACACUGGUCACAUAUCAAACUUCAUAAACACAUCACAAUCAAAGUUAAAAAUCAACUUCCUAGAAGAACAAAAAGGAGCAAUUGGACAACAAAAAAAUCAACAAAGUGUAUAAGCACCUCAAACUGAAACCUGUGGGGGAUUUUGAUGUCUCAAAAAAGAAGAUAAAACAGAUUGAAGACACAGAAGAUGGCGUACAUACAUCUUUAAAGCUUUACGUCUUGGUCAUAUUUGCUAUUUAUAAAAAAAUUCUUUCUUAUAGAAAGAAUGAAUAAUUUCUAAAUUAAUUAUUCGUAUGUAGAUUUUCAACAAUCAAUUUAUGUUUGUGAACUCCCAUCUUAGAGAAUGAAUCAUUUAACUCUAGUAUAUACCAUCUAAGUUCUCCACAGGCUAUCUCUCAAAAGAAAGAAUAUUUUAACAGCCCUAUUUUAUAAUUUCAAAUGUUUUAAGCCAAAUCCCACCACACGUAUCCAUACCUCAAUCCAUAUGGAUACAAAUCCAACACCCAGAUACGCAUCCAAAGCUUAUACACACAUCUAUCUCAAACUAUUCAGGGUCGAUUAGACACCUUAGAUCAGUUAUCAUUCCAAAUACAACAAAAAAUAACUCACUACAUCUUCAAAAACUCAUCCAACCAAAGCUAAAACCAACUUCUAAAACAAAGAAAAGGAACAACUUGACCAAACAAAGCCUAUAAACACCUCAAUCUCAUCAUCCCAAUACUGAUACACAAUUUGCAGCUAUAAAAGUUCUCCUGUACAUAACAACACUUCCCAUUCCAAUUAUGAUAAUCUACCAGCCGAGAAGAAUAAACUCAUCUAAAUCCUCAAAUACUCAUCCAAAUCAAAGUUAAUACAAAAAAAUAAAUCCAGCGAAUCGUAUAAACAUCUCAAUAAUCAUCUAAUUAUCAUUCCAAUUCUCGAAAAAAAAUCAACUAAUUAUAUGAAAAAUAAACGAGAUUUACUCACCAUUGUCGAAAGUAUGAGAAGAAAAUUCCUUCAAGAGAGAGAGCGGCAGAGCUUUUUUGUGUGUGUGAGGAAUGAAAAGCGAAACGGAAGUAGGGUUUAUAAAUUGGGGAAUUCGCUUAAACUUAACGCCAGUCUUUUUUUUUAUAUUCUAUUUUUGAAUUUCAAAUUUUUGUGUGUGUGUUAGAAACAUAAUAAACUAAUGUUUUUUAAAAAAAUAAAUAAAUAAAUUCUUUAUGUUUGUUUUUAACUUUUGUAAGUUUUAAGCUAAUAUAUUUUGUAAUUGGGUCCACUAGGAAUGUAUUAUUGCGUUUAGUCACCCUUGUUGUAUUACAAAUUACACAAAACUUUGACCGUUUGGCAGAGUAAUAGCGGAUUUAGGAUUUUCAUUCGGGAGUUUGAAACAUAUAUAUGAAGUAAAAGCACAAAAAUUAUGAGAUAACUAAAAACGUGGGGCGGUGAAUGGCAAUACUCAUUUUAAUCCACUUAAUUUUAACUCACAUUGUCAUGUCCCGUUUAACAUUUAUUACUAUUUCGAGUCCUUUCUAAAAUUUAUUGUGCUUUUUUUGCCUUCCCCUUCCUCUUUGCAGUGUUCAAUUUUUUCUUUCGAAUUAAUAUCCUUUCAAUCAUAUGUUAUCUUUAAAAUAAUAUUUUUCUUCAAAAAUAAUUUUGGAAUCUUGGUCAAGCUCAAGCACCGACAAAACUCUAAUAUUAAUAAAAAAAAUCAAAUUAAUUAAUCAAACACAAAUUAUUAAUAUACAAAAAGUACUUUAAUAAAAAAAAUUCAUAAUAACAAAUUUUAGAAGUUUAAUCAAUCACGCUAUUGAUUUUUUUAUUUUAGCUUUUAACAUAUUUACAGUAGUACCUAUUCUUAUUCCAUAUUUAUAAUAUAUAGAAUUUUACAUAUAAUUUAUGCAAAUAUUAUUUAUGGAAAAAAUAAAAGAAACUAUCGAGCGUUAGAAGCUAUCACGAUCGAAGACAUAACUUUGAACCCGUAGACCACUAAAUUAAGCUUCUCAAUUGUACUGAGGGGGUUCAUUUCUUUGUAUAUAACCAUACAUAUCGAAUUUGACCUUAUAAAUACAAUGUAAUUUUUUCGACGAGGGGAUUUGGAUGGACCCCUACUGCCCACGUAGAUCCGUCCCUGUGGUAGAGUAUCUAAGAAUAAUGCAAAAUAUAAUGUAUUAGUAAUACUUGUAUUGUUAUACUUGCAUUAGUUAUGCUGAGAUUUUUCUUAUGCAAUGUUUGGUUUGGUGUACUAAAAAUAUUAAGCAUUGCAUAAUUUUUUAAAGAAAUGUUUUUUUUAAAAAAAAAUAUUGGAAUGGAUGUGAAAAAAAUUUGAGGGACAAUUGUAUCUUUAACAUUGCUAAUGCAUGCAUUAGAAUUCAUUGCAAUACUAAUGCAUAGAAACCCAUGAUAUUAGUAAUUUACUCUUCAAUAUACAAUAACUAAUACAAGCAUUAGUUAUGCAUAAAUUAGAAAAGCGAACUAAACAAAGUACUAGUAACACAAUAAAGUGGGAAAGAUUAUUAUUUGUAAAUUCAAUUAGUUUUACUUAUUAAACUAACUAAUUGAAUGCCUGAUGUAAAAAGUGGCCUUUUGGCUUCCAUUUUAGUUUCUAGCUAGGUUGAUGUUUUUGUUGCAUCUUAAAUUUCGAUUCCAACAUAUAAAAUUGAGCGAGAAAUGUUUAUUUUGAGUUUUUAUUAGGGGAUAUUUUCGCCAAUCUUAAUUUUAUAAAUUGUCAGCUUUUUGUCUUUUCAAACGAAGUCAGACAUUUUUCUUAUUUUUAAGUGGCAAAAAUUGUAUAACGUUUUCAAAAACGUUUUUUUGGGCGAGUCCUGAGGAAGUUUUGAGGUGGGGCAUACUAAAACGCUCUGGGGUGCAAAUUAAAAACGUACAUUCAUAGGGCAUGAGACGUGAGUCCUAGAAUUUGGGGUGUAAGCUCCUAGCGUAAAACAUAAACCUUGGGCGUAAAAAUCGUACACCUCGGGCCUUUUUUUAAAAAUUAUUAUUAUUUUUGAACUUUUUUUUUUUAUUGAAAUCAUAUUUUUUUAUUUGUGUAAUGAUAUUUCUCAAAUAGUAAUUGUAAUAGUACUUUUUUCUUCAUUAUUGGUUAUUAAUACAUUUCUCAAAUAAAAAUCAUAAUAUUUUUUUUCUAUAUAUUAUAGCCUUAUAGGUUAUUAAUUUAAAUUUAUUUAUAGUAAUUGAAAGUUUAAACUUUUGCUUGUUUUCUUAGUAAUAAAAUUAUAAAAAAGAAUAUACACGAGACCACGUCCGUAGAUUCAUAAAACUUAUGUCUCAUGUCUCGAAGCUUACGUCUCGCUCCAAACUAUAUAAAACAUCUCGCCUCACACCCCAGCCUUCUAAAACACUACUCCAACCCUUUUAGCUUGAUCUAGGCCCAAUACACCGUCCAGUAUUCCAGUUUAAGAAGCUAAGCCCGCUAUGGACAGUUAUGGGCCCAUAAUUGUCAAGAAAAUUACACCGUCAACUCCUUUUAGAAAUAUUCAUUUUUAAAAUAUAUAUUUCAUAUAUUAUUAAUAUUUAAAUAAAAAAAUAUUAUAUGAUAAUUUGGAAUCUAAAUUAAUUUUAAGACUUUAUUUAGGAUUCUUAUUUGGCAUACAAAAAAUAAAAAAAGAUACUUUUAUUGCUUUCUUUGUCCUCACUAUUUUCACCUCGUUCUCUGUCAACAUCAUUGAAGCAAUUUGAGACAAUCAUCAACAGUAACUCUUUACUCAUUUUUUUCAAAAAAAUUUAUACUAAUUAACCUCAUCAGAAAACAAUCCAUAACUUAUUAAAUAUUCUUCGCAUUAUAAAAAAGUGCUUGGAUAGAUGCUUUAGACUGACUAUGUUUUAUCUUUUUAGUUCAUUCCAGCAACAACACAAAUUAAUUGAAAACAAACUUUGAUCAAAUACCAUCAUAUGUACUCAGGGGCGGACCCACAUUGGACAUUUCGGGUGCGCGAGCACCCAUUAAUUUCGUAUCAAACUAUGUAUAUUUAUAUAAAAAAUUGAAAGAAUGUGAGCACCGACUACACAGGUAGUCGUUUGAUUCAAUGGUUAUUUCUGGGUUUUUAAGGAUGUGUAUUGCAUCCGCGUUUGGGUUCGAUUCCCACUCUAAGCAUUUUUUUAAAAGUAUUUUGAAGACCAACUCUUCUAUUCUUAUUUAUUUCAUUUAGAACUUUUAUUUUUCACACCUUGUGUUGAUUGUUCUUUUUACUCUUUCUCUGUUUCCCUUUUGCUAUUUUUUUUUAUUAAAAAAAACGUUAUAAAAAAUAAUAUUUAUUGUAGUUUUAUCAUAUUAAUAUUUUUUGCUAUUGUGGCACUACAAAAAAACACCUAAAUCGUGGGGGUUUCAAAGUGGAGGUUAGCUGCAACCCCCACAAACUACAUUAAAUAACGAGGGUUUGGUAGCUGACGCAAAAUAAAAGUAAACAUCAGGGAUUUAAAAUCCCCAGAAAAAAAUUUAAGUAAAUACCGGGGGUUUAAACACCUGCUAUCUCAUAAUACAAUUUUUAUUUCAAAAUAUAAAAUAUAUAUUUUUAAUUCAUGAAAUAAAAAACACUCAUAGCUUUUGGAAAUACGUAAUUUAAUAAAUAGCUAUUUUUAAUUUAAUAACAAAAUACAAAAUAAACACAACUUUUGAAACUUCACUCCUUCCAAAUUACUCUCUCACUGUCACACUUCUCUCACCGCCACACUUCUCUACAGCGGCACUUCUCUGCCGUCUACAGCGGCACGUCUCCUCACAACUCUGUAAACUUCAGCUACUCACCAGAUUCAAAAUGGGAUAGGUGUUCUAAGGUAAUGUUUUCCACUUCUCACCUCUUUGAAUAAUGAACCUACCUCACAUUUUUGGAUUUUCUCAUCUGAAUCUUCACAAAUUGUACAAAUUACUGGUUGUAUUUACUAGAUAAGUUUAUUUUUUGGUUGUUUGUAUAGAUGCAUGGAGGUAGAAUUAGGUUAAUUUUGUUGUAUUCUUCAUGGAUGAAAAUUUUGAAAUAUCAAAUUUGAGCAUGUAUUUUGUGGUAGAAUUAGGUUUAUUUUGUUAUAAUUUUGGUGAUUCUACAGAUUCUUCGAGACAUUCUGUGUCUACAGAUUUUUUGGGACCACUUUGUCUCAAAUGGUGUCGCUAACAGGUGCCUUGUUUCUUCGUAAAAUUUGGAGUUGUCGUCUCCGUCGAUCCUUGUUUAAGCUGGAGUAAGGUGUAUAUAGUUUCCCUUUUUGUUUGUUAAUUAAUUCUUCUUUAGCUGUUACAUGUGCCCUCAAUCUUCACUUAUCUCUGUAUACUUGUAUUCAUACAUUAUAUUCUUAUUGAUUUGUAUCUUCAUUUUUUUCUUCUAAAUCACUAAUUUAUCAUUCUUCUAAAUUUGCAUGUCUUUGCUUAUUUGUUGUAUCUCUUCAAUCCAAUUGACUAUAUUCCAAGGUAGUUUGCAUUUAUCCACAAGUAUUCUUUGUAAAUAUAUUGAAUAUGGUUGGAUCAUGAUAUGAUCCAAAUGUUUGUUAUUACAAUGCUUGAUAGCUUCUAGGAUAGCCAGUGUCUCAGAUUAUUUUGGCCCUUACCAUAUCUGUAAUUCUGGCCAGGAGAAAGCAUAUCUAAAAGGUCAUAAACAGACUUCCUCUGUAGAAAAACAUCCCAUUUUGGACCAAAGUGUGUCCUACAUUGUUCCUGUAUUGUUUUAUAUAAACAAAUGUAUAAUCUUAUAGAAAAUGUUCCUUUGUUUAAUUUAUCAGGUCCGAUCCCUCUCCAAUAUUUGGAACUGAAAUUAACGAGAGAGCUUCUAGAUCUUCAAGGAUAAAGAAAGUUGAGGUACUCUUUCAUUUGCUUAGAUCACUAUAAUUUCUCAGUGGUUAGGCCUCUAGGGAAAUAGUUGAGGCCUCAAGUUCAUCUGAUGCUUAUGCUUAAAGUCAACUACAGUAGUAAUAAAUAGAGAUAAAUAGACAUUUGCUCUCAGAUACUGAAUGUUCUUGUUUAAUUUAUCAGGUCUGGCCCCUUUUCAAUAUUUGCUUUAUCUGGAACUGGAAUUAACGGGAGAGCUUCUAGAUCUUCAGGGAUAAAGAAAGUUGAGGUACUCUUUCCAUUUCUGCAUAUAAUGUUACAUAAAAAUUGUUAAAUAUGUCUGUAAUCUUAUAAUUUUCUCAUGAAAAUCUUAUAGGUGAUAUUGUCUGCUAAUCUUGUUUUUUUUUAUGGAUAAAUCUUGGAUUAGAAUGCCAAGGACCACAAAAGAAUAUUUGGUUGGCUUGAAUCAGUUCCUAGAAUUUGCAUUUAAAAAUGGAGCUAUAGAAGAUAGAAUAAAAUGUCCGUGUCCUCAAUGUUGUUUUGGCAAAUGGAAGACUAGAGAUAUAGUGUUUGAACAUUUGACUUGCAAGCCAUUUGAUCGCGUCUUUGAUCAAAUCAUAGUGGUAUAAACUCUAUAUUCUGACUACUAUACCUAUAUUCUUUUCUUGGACUUUUAUAUUUGGAUUUAAUAGAUAAGCUAACUAGUGUUUAUUCUUGAAGCCUUGAUUUUUUUCCGAGACAACCGACGAUAAGCUAACUAGUGCUUAUUCUGGAUCCACUGUGUUUUCUAGUGACAUAUCUAUUGAGAUUAGCUUCUUUAUUUCUGGCAAAGUUUUAUGGGCAAGGCAGCACUCAUGGUCUAGAACAUAUUUUCCAGGAUUGCUUCUGGAGCUUAGAAUGUGGAGUGUUGUUUGGUCUGAAUUAGGAAAAAAGAAUGUGGAAAUAUGAGUAUUUGUCUAUAGAACUUUGUGGAGUGUUGUUUGGUCUGGAUUAAUGCAAGAACAAGAUAAAAACUUGUGAUUCUUUUACUAUUAUGUGCAAUAAAGAAGUAGCAAGGUCCAGAACAUAUUUUUGCAUAUUCUUGUAUGUUAGUAUUGACCUAUUUGUUUAUGAUUGGCAUUUGUAUUGACAUUCAUAGUAGAGAAUUUAGUAUUUGUUUACAUACUGUUAUUGACAUACAAUAUGUAAGUAUUUUUUUUAUAAAUCACCAUAAUGGUUGGAUUAGGUUUCAGUCCUAAUCAUUUUAUUGCAUUCAAAAGAGGUUACAAAAGAAGGGUGAGAGCAUUUAUCAUAUUACUUAUUGUGUAUUUUUCUUUGUAGACAGAUGAUGCUAGUGACAGUAGUCGUAGUGACAAUCGUUGAAGUUCCAUGAAUAGUUGCAGGUCAUUUCUUGAGUAUGGAUGCUAGUGAACCCUUUUCAUCAAUAAAAGCAAGAUUAGCGAAUGACAGUUUUUGUAGUGAUUUGAAGUUUCUUGUAAUCGUAAUGGUUGAAGUGAAUGGUAUGUUUCAAUUUAGUUUGUAAAACUAAUAGUACACUUUAUGAUAUAUUUUUUUGUUGAAAUAUUUUGUUAUUUCUUAAUACUAAUAAGCCCUUUUAGGUUUGACUAUGAUGUACAUGUUAAUUAGUCAUUAAUAUUUAAAAUAGAUUUUUUCUAGCAUAAUGCUCUAGAAGGUUACAUGUUCAUAAAUUACAGGGGUUAGAACUCUAGUUAAUCUUAAUGUAAAAUUCAUGAUUUGUGGGGAUUUUGACUCCCAAAGUUCACAAAUUGCAGGGGUUUUGACUCCUAGAUAUUGAAGUGCAGUUUUAUAGAUAUACAUUUGUGGGUUCAAAACCCCCAGUAAUAAGCCCCCGCUAAUGGUAGCAGGGGUUCGUCCAAAACUCCUGGGACUUAAUUGUGGCACACCUAAUUGCAGGAGUUCUCUCAACUGCCACAACACUAAAUUGUGAGGGUUACUGACUGUCAGAACAUGUAAUUUUAACCCCUGCAAUUUAGGCGUUUUUUUGUAGUGUGGUUUAAUUUAAUUGUCCAUUUAAUGGCAAGUUAUAAAUUUGUUUACUUAUAUUUUGUGACGGUAGUCAAGGGAGCACCCACAAUUUGAAAAUCCUGGAUCCGCCACUGUAUGUACUUGAAUUUAAAUAAUACUUAAAGUCUAUAGUACCAAAAUAUUUGAACGUUAUUUCAAAGAAAUAAACCUUAGAUCCGUAAAACGUGUGUUAAAAACUAGAAAUAAAAAGAAAUAUGAUAAAUUUAACUGGCUAUUAUAAUUUCAAUAUGUAAUUUAUUUGAUCAGUACAAUGCAUCUAUUAAUCAUGACAAUUAAUGAGAUAGAUUGCACAUACAUGUAACUACAAAGUUUAUUUCCCAAACUAUGAAGAUUUAUCAUCAAAAUAGACAAUAAUAGCCCUUGGUAGCUUGCUAGUACACUUUUAGCAUUUUUCAACCCUCAUUACCGUCAAUUUUGCCAUCUGCGUAGCAAUACCACAAAACAAGUCUAAAGUCAAAUUUUCAAUUUAAGUUGCACCGUAAAAAUUAUAUGGAGACAUUGCAACUCUGGUCAACUAAUAAAUUAAUACAAUAUGGAUAAAAAAAACUGACAAUUCCUCUAAAAAUGAAUAUAUACAUCAUAUUCCUAUUCUUUUUCAAAUUAUAAAAAUCCUUUAAAAUUUAAGAAUUUCAGAUAUAUUACUCAAUAUCUCGAUAAAUCGCAUCCUGAUAUAUAUUUUUUGUUGAGACAAGACACACAUAUCCCGAUACAUCGCGUAAAAAUAAUGUAUUCGAGAAUAGGAGAAAGAGUGACAAAAAUAAAAAAAAUUAUAAUUUUUUUCAAAAUAGAGUCAACAGAGUGUAAAUUAGAAAUUAAAAAAAAAUACUGAAUUGAAAUAUGAUCUAUUGUUUAAAUUGAUUUGACUCGAUCUAUCUUUGCCCAUGUAAACCUUGAACAUAAUCAAAUGAGAACUCUUUUGUUGAUUCAAUCCAUUUAACCCGCUCAUUUGUCUCCCUUGGAUUUGUGAUCUUUAUUAGUUUCAACUUUUUUUCAUAGUUCAAUAUAAUAUGUGUGACUUCAGGCCAAAAUAUAGUUUGACCAUGAAAGUCAAACUACCAUAGUUGCAUACUUGCUUGUUUUUUUUAGUUUCCCAUUUGGUGUUCGAAGCCCACAUUAAAAACUCAAUCAAAUUUGAAUCGUGUAAUGCAGGGUCCAUUCUUGUUGAAACAAAGUUAAAGGAGUUUCAUUACAGAAAGAUGAAAUAAGACAAACUAAAAAACAAAGAAAUGGAAAAGGUAAAGAAAAAAGGAAACUUAAUUACCUGGUCCGCACCUAAUGUUGCACUUCCCAUCACAACGAGCGUACUCUCUCGCUGAAAAAAUAACAAAUUAUUACCGCUAAAAUACUACAUAAAGCUGAACUGAAUGCUACGAUUAUAAAAGAAAAAAGAAUAAAUAGGAAAGGGGAGAUCGAAAUGAUGACAUACGUGGGAGACCAACACAAGCAGUAUUGCAAUUGUCCCAGCAAUUGACGCCCUGAGCUGCGACGCCGACGGUGUCGGUGUUGGCCGAUAAAAGGAUGAUAAACACCAUAGCCAUAGCUGCCACUGAAUUCAUUUUCUUGUUUUCCAUUGUUUUCUUAUUAAUCUCUCUAUGCUUUUUAGUGUUAUAGUAUGAAGAUAUAAGCCUUCAAUGGAAAGCUCAUUUAUAUAUUGGUAGUCACUUUUAUUAGUGCCGUAGUGGACAAGUGGGAUACAGGAUAUUGUUAUUUUUUCAUUCCACCAAUUUUGACCGUUUAAGUAAACUUUGACUGAAAUAUAUAACAAACUUUAUUUUAUUUUGACCUAAUAAUACGUGAUCAAUUCCUUAAAUUUAACGGGAUAUUCUAUUUAUACACUUGAAUUAUGAUUGAUUAAGAUGAGUGUGUCCACUAAAGAUAAAAGAUGACAUAUUUUAUUUAGUUAACUUAACUAUCUAAUAUACAAAUGAAAAAAAUUGCAAUUUUUUCUUAAAAACUUGAAUUGAAAUUGUCUAUUUAGUUAAGGAGCUGAGUAUGCAUUAAGCAUUUUAUUUUUAUAUGGACUAGAUUAGAUCUUCUUUUCAGUCGAACUUUUAAAAAAAUUUAGAGAACUAGUUUAAAAUGCUUGAUACUGUAAGGUGAGAAAACAGAAAACUAGUAAUCUUUGUCGUUCCAGAGCCCUUUGAAAUAUUGUUUUUUUAAACGGAUACAAUUUAAAUAAAUUACAAUCAGCGGCGAAGCAAGAAUUGAAAUUAAAUGUUGAAAAAAUAAAUUAAAAAGUUAAGUUCUUGUGUGACUCUCAUAUCACCGAAUUUCUUUUUUUUACUCCAUAGUCAAACUUCGUAAGUUGUAGUUUGACCUUAUUUUUUUAAAAAAAUAAUAUUAUUAUUACUAUAUUUUACAUAAUUGGAGGUUGGAGAAAGAGAUUACUAGAUGUGAAUCGAAAUCUAAUCAACAAACUUUCGUUUAGACAAUCAAAAGCAAGUAAACUAUUACUCCCUCUAUUAUGGUAAAAUAUCAUGAACAAUGUAUUCAUAUAUUGUCUCCAAAGUUAAAAACUUUCUUAAAUGAACUUCCACCCUUAAACAGAUGAAAAUUAGUUACCAUCACUAUUCACAAACAGUUGACAUUUAAGUAUCUUCAGUCAAAAAAUUGUCGGAUAUGUGACCAAGUAAUAUUAUAACAAGCUCAAAACAGAGCCUCGAUAAUGUGCCCCUUACAUCAAGGUCGGCAUAACUAACCUAACAAAACAAAGCCUCGUGGCCGCAGACAAACAUAUCUAAUAACCAAUCAAUAAUACAAGGAAGCAACAAAUAGAUCCUCAAAUAAAUAACAAAGACAAAGUCCAAAUACAGAAAAAUUAAGGACUAGGAAUUUGGGAAGGUGCAACGGUGAAACUGAUCUGCUCUGAGCUAUGCCAUCUAUUCAAAUGCUUCAUCAUCGUCAUCUGGAAGUGGCUGAUUAAGGGCUUGUUGAAGCUCCUGUUCAUGCCUGAAUAAACAGA
rnacentral:lncRNA from 1 species